rnacentral:rRNA from 1 species
AAUGAACGCUGGCGGCAGGCCUAAAACAUGCAAGUCGAACGCCCUAGCAAUAGGGAGUGGCGCACGGGUGCGUAACAUGUGGAAUAUGCCUUUUGGUACGGAACAACGUUUGGAAACGAACGCUAAUACCGUAUGGUCCCUUCGGGGUAAAGAUUUAUCGCCAAAAGAUUAGCCCGCACUGGAUUAGCUAGUUGGUGAGGUAAUGGCUCACCAAGGCGACGAUCCAUAGCUGGUCUGAGAGGAUGAUCAGCCACACUGGGACUGAGACACGGCCCAGACUCCUACGGGAGGCAGCAGUUAGGAAUAUUGGACAAUGGGCGCAAGCCUGAUCCAGCCAUGCCGCGUGAGUGAUGAAGGCCUUCGGGUUGUAAAGCUCUUUUAUGAGGGAAGAAGUUUAUUGACGGUACCUCAUGAAUAAGGGCCUGCAAAACUCGUGCCAGCAGCCGCAGUAA